UCUCUCACAAUGCUGAAAGGGAGGUUAUCUCAUUCCCACAUGAAGAAUCUGAUUCUAACUAAGUGAGAAUCACAAUGUCUGGAACAUAAUGUGAGCACUGUUUGUCUGAACAGUUAAAGGUACAAGGUAA